AGGUUAUCUCGUAAUCCGGAUAAGCCUUUCUUAAAACAUUUGCUGAAAUUGAAUGGUCAGCGGGUCCAUAUUGCUAAAACAAAACACAAGUUUAACACAGCUGACGAUACGGUACGCACACAACGGUAUGUAAUUUAUUUGACGAAAAAACCAUAAGUAUGAGACACAGGAUUGGUCAUUUGAUCAUCUGAGCAUUGCAAUCAUCUCGUUAUAAACCAAAUGCUUUGAUAAUAUUUAUAAUUAACCAAUAUCAAAGGCCAAAUAAUAAAUUUAGAUCGCGAUUUGUUAGUUAGAAUGGUGAUUAAGAAACUCAAAAUACGACGACAGAGAUCAAAAUUAUAAUUUCGAACAAACAAAGCCUCUUGUGGUUCGCGAUUACAUCAGUUGUUAGGAGUGGCAUGCAAAUUAUUAAGUGUUUGUGACGACCAAUCUACUAGCCCAGAAAUCCCAGGCUAACCGAAUGAGUUACUAAAUAGUGUACGAGCUGGCUCAUCCAGCUUUAUCACAUUCAAGUUUCAUGGAAUAAAUUAGAAAAAUAAGACUCGAC